GAUGAACGCUGGCGGCGUGCCUAAUACAUGCAAGUCGAGCGAACAGACGAGGAGCUUGCUCCUCUGACGUUAGCGGCGGACGGGUGAGUAACACGUGGAUAACCUACCUAUAAGACUGGGAUAACUUCGGGAAACCGGAGCUAAUACCGGAUAAUAUAUUGAACCGCAUGGUUCAAUAGUGACAGACGGUUUUGCUGUCACUUAUAGAUGGAUCCGCGCCGCAUUAGCUAGUUGGUAAGGUAACGGCUUACCAAGGCAACGAUGCGUAGCCGACCUGCGAGGGUGAUCGGCCACACUGGAGCUGAGACACGGUCCAGACUCCUACGGGAGGCAGGAGUAGGGAAGCUUCCGCAAUGGGCGAAAGCCUGACGGAGCAACGCAGCGUGAGUGAUGAAGGUCUUCGGAUCGUAAAACUCUGUUAUUAGGGAAGAACAAAUGUGUAAGUAACUAUGCACGUCUGGACGGUACCUAAGCAGAAAGCCACGGCUAACUACGU
rnacentral:rRNA from 1 species